UGGGGAAUAUUGCGCAAUGGGGGCAACCCUGACGCAGCAACGCCGCGUGCGGGACGACGGCCUUCGGGUUGUAAACCGCUUUCAGCAGGGAAGAUAGUGACGGUACCUGCACAAGAAGCCCCGGCUAACUACGUGCCAGCAGCCGCGGUAAUACGUAGGGGGCGAGCGUUAUCCGGAUUCAUUGGGCGUAAAGCGCGCGCAGGCGGCUCUUCAAGCGGAACCUCUAACCCCGGGGCUCAACCUCGGGCCGGGUUCCGAACUGGGGGGCUCGAGUGCGGGAGAGGCAGGCGGAAUUCCCGGUGUAGCGGUGGAAUGCGCAGAUAUCGGGAAGAACACCGAUGGCGAAGGCAGCCUGCUGGGCCGGCACUGACGCUGAGGCGCGAAAGCUAGGGGAGCGAACAGG
rnacentral:rRNA from 1 species